ACCUGGGCUUCCAUUUCACGAUCAGACAGGCCACCGCAAAUCUGGAUAAUACGGUCAGACAGCGUCGACUUACCGUGGUCAAUGUGAGCAAUGAUCGAAAAGUUACGUAUAUUCUUCAUAUAAUUAAAUAAUUAUGCCUUACGAAUUCCUGGAGGCCGCUGUUCUUAGCCUGACGUUUUUCAGUGCGAAAACGCAGCAUUCUACACUACAUCUUCGUCACCAGGAAAUGCUCUUGAAGCCAAGCUUAGCGCGAGGAUUCGGGGUUUUCAUUUCAGAGAUGUAAAUAAAGAUAAAGCCCGGUGUAAUUACCGGGCUUCAGAAGAAAGCGUUUCAACACGAAGCAUGUUGGGAGGAAGGCCUACGCUCAGAAUGACAGGCUGCCAGGCCUCUCGCUCAGCGAGUUUUUGCGAAAAGCCACGUGCCAACAUGAAACCGCCCACACCACCCAAUGCUCCGCCACACAUUGCAGCAAGAUCGGUUCCAAAUAAUAUUUGGAAGAUUCCCGCUAGCACAAAUAAGCCCACGAGCGGUGAUAGGUAAACCAGCAUUGCCGAACCAAGUAAACUGCCCUCAGCAAUACCAAGCUCGACCUUUUGCCCUUUGGUGAGAGGCUGCUCGCUGGGUACAGAAAUCGUAUGCGUGGUUUGCGGCCCGAGUUUGUUGAGUACGCGAGAGCCGCAUCCAGCACGGGAAGCACAACUGUUACAUGAGGCUUUGACGUCGCACAUAACAAGCGCGACGCCAUCGUUCCACGAAACCACCGUGGCCCAUUCUUUAAUCAUUGUGCAGCCCUGAAUUUAAUGCUGUCUGAAAUACGC
rfam:Enterobacter sp. 638, complete genome.